rnacentral:rRNA from 1 species
AGUGAACGCUGGCGGUAGGCCUAACACAUGCAAGUCGAACGGCAGCACAGUAAGAGCUUGCUCUUACGGGUGGCGAGUGGCGGACGGGUGAGGAAUACAUCGGAAUCUACUUUUUCGUGGGGGAUAACGUAGGGAAACUUACGCUAAUACCGCAUACGACCUACGGGUGAAAGCAGGGGAUCUUCGGACCUUGCGCGAUUGAAUGAGCCGAUGUCGGAUUAGCUAGUUGGCGGGGUAAAGGCCCACCAAGGCGACGAUCCGUAGCUGGUCUGAGAGGAUGAUCAGCCACACUGGAACUGAGACACGGUCCAGACUCCUACGGGAGGCGGCAGUGGGGAAUAUUGGACAAUGGGCGCAAGCCUGAUCCAGCCAUACCGCGUGGGUGAAGAAGGCCUUCGGGUUGUAAAGCCCUUUUGUUGGAAAAGAAAAGCAGCAGGUUAAUACCCCGCUGUUCUGACGGUACCCAAAGAAUAAGCACCGGCUAACUUCGUG